UAAACUCAAAGGAAUUGACGGGGGCCCGCACAAGCAGCGGAGCAUGUGGUUUAAUUCGAAGCAACGCGAAGAACCUUACCAGGUCUUGACAUCGAUGUAAGCCUGUAGAGAUACAGGGUGCCUUCGGGCAAUUGAAGACAGGUGGUGCAUGGUUGUCGUCAGCUCGUGUCGUGAGAUGUUGGGUUAAGUCCCGCAACGAGCGCAACCCUUAUGGUCAGUUACUAACGGGUAAAGCCGAGGACUCUGACGAGACUGCCGGGGUCAACUCGGAGGAAG
rnacentral:rRNA from 1 species